ensembl:lncRNA
AUCUCACAGAAGAAGAAGAGGAAGCAUCCUAGGCAGUAGAAGAAGAGUGACGGAUUGUCGACGCUCUUUGGUCAGCAGUAGUACACAGGGUGUCAGCGGUGAUUUGUCACUACCAAAAGUACUAGUUUAUUGUUAUUUUACUAGGUAAACUGAUAGAAAACAGAACCGUUUACAGUUGUGGACGAUUAUCGGACGUCAGCUGGGCCACCUUCCUCAGUGGAUGUGCGUCACACAGCAGGAACGAGAGCGCGUCUGUGCGUGUGAAGGAGCCAUGUUGAAGCGGCUCCUAAUGUCGUGUUUUUAAAAGCGGUGCCGUCAAUGUGCUGCGUGACGAGGACUCGUCUCGGAAAGUGGAGGAACCGUGAAACAUACCGAGAUGUCAGCGGACGAUUUCCAGACGCAGUACGCCUCCUUCAUGGACGGCAUGCUGAAGAGCGCUGUGGCAGAAACCACGAAACUUUUCGAAACUAUGGUGGACGAGCUGAAGGCAGAAAUAUCCAGGAUGAAGAAGGAGAAUGAAGACCUCAAAACACGAUGUAGUCUGUACGAAAGUGCAAAAAGCCAAACGGCUGUUGAUCACGGAGAAAAUUGCACCGUUUCAGGACCAAACGACGGCUCUGAGAAACGCGACAGUGCUGUCCAGUGUGAUCUUGUCCCUGUCCGUACAGUACUGGUGGAGCACUGUCAGUCACUGCAAAACCAAGUGCAGCAGUACACACAUGAGGGCAUGCAGUACCAUUUGCAAGAGCACAACUAUAUUGCUCAUGAAAUCAAACAAGAGGAAUUGGAGUCUGUGUUGAAGCAGGAGGAAGUUGAGCCCACUGUGGUCUGUGAACAAGCAGGUUCACUGCAGACCUCUGUUUGUGGAGCUGAAAAUGAAGAACCUCUUGUGAGGCAGGAAAGUUCAACACAGUAUGUAGAGACCAGACUUCUAGAGCCCCCCUGUUUGCAAAUGGGUAGCAGGGUACAGGGAACCCAGAACCAGUUAUCUUACCCAGAGCCUGCAAUUAGUAUUUCACUCGCUGCAUUAAAGGAAGACCUCCAAAAAGAGUCUGAGUUUGAUCAGACUAUAUCAGAAAAAAGGAUGGAGGGAGAACUCACAAUAUCUGGAAAACACCAGUCAGUCCCCCAGCACUGUCAAGGAGACAGUGACACAUCAGUAAAUGAAAAAACUGAUAUGCACCAUACAGAGAAACAGUCAGAGCCUAAUCUGCUCGUACGGCAUAGAAGAGGACCUUCCCCAAAGAAAAUGAAACAACAAAUACUUCAGUCAUCAUCGGUUGAUGUUUCAAGAGAACAGAAGGGGUUAAAUUCCCCUUCGGUAAGAGAGGAAGGCGUAUUCUCGCAAACAUCUCCAGUUCAGCCUCAAAAGACUUCAUCUGCCAUCACCCUAUCAGUCCAGGACAGAUCAUACCCUGCUUUUGAAGACAUGGAAAACAGGAGGGUUGAUUCUUUGCCUGUCUCUGUUUCAGUUGCAAUUCAUUCUCCAUCAACUGAAGUUUCAUCUGCAAAUGAAAGACUGGACACCACACCAGCAGAUUCAUCACAAGCACCAUCAAGUCACCUCAAAGACUGCCGCACCUCAGUAACACUUCAGGAUGCAAUGCUGUUAGUUGAAGCCAUGAAUCAGUCAACAGUGGAAAAUGCAGUCGCCCAAGGAAUGGCACCACCCGAGACCCGCUCUGCUCCCUGUGAGGGUACUUUGCAAAUGGUGGACAAGAUCCCAGAAGAGCCAACUUCUGUUGAGACUCCUCACAUUACAGAUGCCAUUUCAACCAGUGAAGCUCAGGCCCACAUUGCAGUUGUCAUACCAAAACAAAAACAUGCACCAUCUCCUUUUAAUACUACUACAUUACCAUUGUCACCAUCAGCCGCUGCACCUAAAACCACCACACGGUCGCUUCCUCGUCCUUUGAUGCCAUUGGUAGCUCCCAGUAAACCAAAUAAAGCAGUACCUCAUGCAAUCAUCAUCUUGCCAAAGUCAGGAUCUUCAUUUAUGUCUCAAAAAGUUGCAACGGUGUCUCCAACCCCGCUUUCUACUGGGUCAUCAUCAGGACAGGAUUGUUUUUCUAAAGUUGUAGGGUUACCACCUGAUACAUCUUCCCAUUCUUCUGUUCCCCAGACAGUAAAUGUUAGCUCCAGAAAUAUUUUUCCGGUCUUCCCCUCACAGUUACCCACGAACUCAGCAGAACAGCACUUAGGAACCUUAUCACAGUCAAAAAUACUUAUAAUUCCAACACGGUUGUCAGCUGUGGCAUCAAAGAAACAUCAGUCACACACUACUGUACUGACAGUAAAGCAAAAGAGUGCUGAACCAACUGCUCCAGUUACAGAGUCAUCGACCCAACUGAUUUUCUCGUCACAGGAGUUAAAUAUUUCUGCUUUGCACAAUCCAGUAUUGUCUCAAAAAAAUGAUGAUACAACUGACAGCCUAGAAACCUCCAAACAAA